rnacentral:rRNA from 1 species
AACGAACGCUGGCGGCAUGCCUAACACAUGCAAGUCGAACGAGACCUUCGGGUCUAGUGGCGCACGGGUGCGUAACGCGUGGGAACCUGCCCUUAGGUUUGGAAUAACUCCCCGACAGGGGUGCUAAUACCGGAUAAUGUCUUCGGACCAAAGAUUUAUCGCCUUUGGAUGGUCCCGCGUUGGAUUAGCUAGUUGGUAGGGUAAAAGCCUACCAAGGCGCCGAUCCAUAGCUGGUCUGAGAGGAUGAUCAGCCACACUGGGACUGAGACACGGCCCAGACUCCUACGGGAGGCAGCAGUGGGGAAUAGUGGACAAUGGGCGAAAGCCUGAUCCAGCAAUGCCGCGUGAGUGAUGAAGGCCGGAGGGUUGUAAAGCUCUUUUACCCGGGAUGAUAAUGACAGUACCGGGAGAAUAAGCUCCGGCUAACUCCGUG